CAGUCGCCACGGUAAUACGAAGGGGGCUAGCGUUGCUCGGAAUUACUGGGCGUAAAGGGAGCGUAGGCGGAUCGUUUAGUCAGGGGUGAAAUCCCGGGGCUCAACCUCGGAACUGCCUUUGAUACUGGCGAUCUUGAGUAUGGGAGAGGUGUGUGGAACUCCGAGUGUAGAGGUGAAAUUCGUAGAUAUUCGGAAGAACACCAGUGGCGAAGGCGACACACUGGCCCAUUACUGACGCUGAGGCUCGAAAGCGUGGGGAGCAAACAGGAUUAGAUACCCCCGUAGUCCCUGUCUCUUAUAC
rnacentral:rRNA from 1 species